rnacentral:rRNA from 1 species
UACGGAGGAUCCGAGCGUUAUCCGGAUUUAUUGGGUUUAAAGGGUGCGUAGGCGGCUUGUUAAGUCAGGGGUGAAAGACGGUAGCUCAACUAUCGCAGUGCCCUUGAUACUGAUGAGCUUGAAUGUACUAGAGGUAGGCGGAAUGUGACAAGUAGCGGCGAAAUGCAUAGAUAUGUCACAGAACACCAAUUGCGAAGGCAGCUUACUAUGGUAUGAUUGACGCUGAGGCACGAAAGCGUGGGGAUCAAACAGG